rnacentral:tRNA from 1 species
CCCGUCGAGGCCAAAGAGGUAGAGGCGCCUCGCUGAUAACGAGGAGACAGAAGGUUCAACUCCUUCCGACGGGACCA